rnacentral:rRNA from 1 species
GAUGAACGCUGGCGGCGUGCCUAAUACAUGCAAGUCGAGCGAAGCGGGGACGGGUGAGUAAAACGUGGAUAACCUCCUAUAAGACUGGGAUAACUUCGGGAAACCGGAGCUAAACCGGAUAAUUAUAGCUGGAUCCGCGCUGCAUUAGCUAGUUGGUAAGGUAACGGCUUACCAAGGCAACGAUCCAUAGCCGACCUGAGAGGAUGAUCGGCAACACUGGAACUGAGACACGGCCCAGACUCCUACGGGAGGCAGCAGUAGGGAAUCUUCCGCAAUGGGCGAAAGCCUGAUGGAGCCACGCCGCGUGAGUGAUGAAGGUCUUCGGAUCGUAAAACUCUUUUAGUAGGGAAGCGGUACCUACUCAGAAAGCCACGGCUAACUACGUGCCAGCAGCCGCGGUAAUUC